rnacentral:rRNA from 1 species
GGGUUGUGAGGUUAAGCGACUAAGCGUACACGGUGGAUGCCCUGGCAGUCAGAGGCGAUGAAGGACGUGCUAAUCUGCGAUAAGCGUCGGUAAGGUGAUAUGAACCGUUAUAACCGGCGAUUUCCGAAUGGGGAAACCCAGUGUGAUUCGUCACACUAUCAUUAACUGAAUCCAUAGGUUAAUGAGGCGAACCGGGGGAACUGAAACAUCUAAGUACCCCGAGGAAAAGAAAUCAACCGAGAUUCCCCCAGUAGCGGCGAGCGAACGGGGAGCAGCCCAGAGCCUGAAUCAGUGUGUGUGUUAGUGGAAGCGUCUGGAAAGGCGCGCGAUACAGGGUGACAGCCCCGUACACAAAAAUGCACAUACUGUGAGCUCGAUGAGUAGGGCGGGACACGUGGUAUCCUGUCUGAAUAUGGGGGGACCAUCCUCCAAGGCUAAAUACUCCUGACUGACCGAUAGUGAACCAGUACCGUGAGGGAAAGGCGAAAAGAACCCCGGCGAGGGGAGUGAAAAAGAACCUGAAACCGUGUACGUACAAGCAGUGGGAGCACGCUUAGGCGUGUGACUGCGUACCUUUUGUAUAAUGGGUCAGCGACUUAUAUUCUGUAGCAAGGUUAACCGAAUAGGGGAGCCGAAGGGAAACCGAGUCUUAACUGGGCGUUAAGUUGCAGGGUAUAGACCCGAAACCCGGUGAUCUAGCCAUGGGCAGGUUGAAGGUUGGGUAACACUAACUGGAGGACCGAACCGACUAAUGUUGAAAAAUUAGCGGAUGACUUGUGGCUGGGGGUGAAAGGCCAAUCAAACCGGGAGAUAGCUGGUUCUCCCCGAAAGCUAUUUAGGUAGCGCCUCGUGAAUUCAUCUCCGGGGGUAGAGCACUGUUUCGGCAAGGGGGUCAUCCCGACUUACCAACCCGAUGCAAACUGCGAAUACCGGAGAAUGUUAUCACGGGAGACACACGGCGGGUGCUAACGUCCGUCGUGAAGAGGGAAACAACCCAGACCGCCAGCUAAGGUCCCAAAGUCAUGGUUAAGUGGGAAACGAUGUGGGAAGGCCCAGACAGCCAGGAUGUUGGCUUAGAAGCAGCCAUCAUUUAAAGAAAGCGUAAUAGCUCACUGGUCGAGUCGGCCUGCGCGGAAGAUGUAACGGGGCUAAACCAUGCACCGAAGCUGCGGCAGCGACGCUUAUGCGUUGUUGGGUAGGGGAGCGUUCUGUAAGCCUGCGAAGGUGUGCUGUGAGGCAUGCUGGAGGUAUCAGAAGUGCGAAUGCUGACAUAAGUAACGAUAAAGCGGGUGAAAAGCCCGCUCGCCGGAAGACCAAGGGUUCCUGUCCAACGUUAAUCGGGGCAGGGUGAGUCGACCCCUAAGGCGAGGCCGAAAGGCGUAGUCGAUGGGAAACAGGUUAAUAUUCCUGUACUUGGUGUUACUGCGAAGGGGGGACGGAGAAGGCUAUGUUGGCCGGGCGACGGUUGUCCCGGUUUAAGCGUGUAGGCUGGUUUUCCAGGCAAAUCCGGAAAAUCAAGGCUGAGGCGUGAUGACGAGGCACUACGGUGCUGAAGCAACAAAUGCCCUGCUUCCAGGAAAAGCCUCUAAGCAUCAGGUAACAUCAAAUCGUACCCCAAACCGACACAGGUGGUCAGGUAGAGAAUACCAAGGCGCUUGAGAGAACUCGGGUGAAGGAACUAGGCAAAAUGGUGCCGUAACUUCGGGAGAAGGCACGCUGAUAUGUAGGUGAAGUCCCUCGCGGAUGGAGCUGAAAUCAGUCGAAGAUACCAGCUGGCUGCAACUGUUUAUUAAAAACACAGCACUGUGCAAACACGAAAGUGGACGUAUACGGUGUGACGCCUGCCCGGUGCCGGAAGGUUAAUUGAUGGGGUCAGCGCAAGCGAAGCUCUUGAUCGAAGCCCCGGUAAACGGCGGCCGUAACUAUAACGGUCCUAAGGUAGCGAAAUUCCUUGUCGGGUAAGUUCCGACCUGCACGAAUGGCGUAAUGAUGGCCAGGCUGUCUCCACCCGAGACUCAGUGAAAUUGAACUCGCUGUGAAGAUGCAGUGUACCCGCGGCAAGACGGAAAGACCCCGUGAACCUUUACUAUAGCUUGACACUGAACAUUGAGCCUUGAUG